rnacentral:lncRNA from 7 species
AGAUUUUCUCUAUUAUCUCCUGAAACAUAGCACAAACUUAAACACGGGAUAUCUUGUUACAGUGCCUUAGUGCAUUACUAAAAUAAAUUUGUUAAAAUUUACGGUAUCUCUAUAUGAACAAAGAAGGGGGUUUUCAUGUUACCUCGGGAAAAAGGGAAAUCUUUUUGACAUCUGCAGCUCACGGGGAGGGCAGUACUGCGUGGAAGAGAUAUACGUGUGACACGUAUAACCAAGAUGCUCCGAGUUAUGGGAAAACAAACACCAAAGAGGUCCAGUCUUGGAAUCAUAGAAAAUGUAUACAGAUGAUGCUGCUCGUGAAGAAACAAAAAUCUAUUAAAACACCUCCAGUGCAUCAGUAAAAGUGCUGGAAAGAAAUGUGAGUUUUGACUGUUGCUAAGAAGAGAUGUGGCUGUGUACAUUGCACGGGUCCUCUCCAAGUGACAACUCACAGGCAGGGGAAAAGAGACAUCAUUUAGGAGUUGGACUAGAUGGCUUCCAGAGGUCCGUUGCAACCUCAACCAUUCCACAUUUCUGUGAUUAGAAGAGAUUUUAUCUAUCCACUUUGCUGUGGUUCUUACUCUGGUGGCUUUUGAGGAAGCAUUCUCUCCAGGUUUGUCCCACCUGGAACAUGUUGAAACAGCACGAGCAUAGAGAUCAAGUUACCAAAAUCCCAAUGGUCAAAAAAAUGGCAGGUUCAGCUGCAGUUUAUGGAAACAGCAUAAUUGUUAGGGUUCAGAGCUGGCACUGAGCAGAGGAGCUGGCUUCCAACUCAGGAGGUCACUCAAACUUUGGGUUUGGACUGUCCAGUUUCUCUGAGAAAUCAUACCCAAACGCUUCUGUGUGGUGCCAAAACCAGAAAAUAUGUAGGUCUCCUCACUGUAAAAAAUCAAACAAUUAUUACAGGAUCUGGAUAAUCUCCACAUGCACACAAUAGAAGAAGUUUAGGGAAAGUUUUGUUGAAAAGAGGAAAUUUUGUCUCAUUAAAUUUGGUGGCAAAAAAUUCCAAAUUCAAGCAUGAUUUCACCCUAUGUUACACUCUUGCCAUUGUGUAGAUUUUUGGUUAUAGAUAAGGAUCAGCCAGGGUUUAUAACUAAGUUUAUUUUGUAGUAAGUCUGUAGCAGCAAUUAAAGUUCCAAAACAGUUUUCACAUACUAGUAAUUUAAAGAAAAGUACAUCUCUGAAGAUGUAAUUUUCCAUUUUAAUCUCCAUCCAAAGAUAUUCUUUAACUUUGGGCAAAUUCCUGUCAAACAGUUUGAGUUAUAAUUGUAUGAAAAAAGAUACUCUGCCAGAUGUAAGAGAAAGAUGACUGCUGACAUUUUUAUUUCUUUUCUACAAGAUAAGCCAUGAGAGCUGACCUCUGAAGAACAGUGUAUAAGUAACCACUCAGGAACUUGUUCAUAAAUGGACUGGAAAAGUAAGUGGAAAAAAAGCUUAAAUUAUUAGCCUGAAUGUUGGGUAAUAAGAGUGAACAGUAGAAAUAUGGCAAUUAGAUAUUUAAAUUAUUUUUGAUUCUCAGCCUUCUGCCUGAACCAUACCUGAGACAGUAAAGCUAGUACAUAUGGAACAGAUAUCAGAGCAUGGGUUAUUUCAACAUCCAGUGCAAUAAUUAUGGCUAUAUUCAGUAUCACAAAUCUCGAAAUUGCAUCAAGCAACUUAAAAAAUAAAUUAAUUAUACUAUCACAAGGCAAACUUGGAAGAAAGUAAUUAUUCUUAACAUAGAAUAGUUCUGAGUAAAGAAUUAAUUUAUUGAUUUAGUAGUGUAGAAUUUGAUUACUUAACGUAUAAAUUCUCCCAGGAAUAGAGUCCUGGGGCAUCCUGAGAGGAGUGACUGAAUAACUGGAGACCUUAACAUGUAGAGGUCUUUGUAGGGUGCUCAGUGUAUCGAGUAAAAGAAAUCAUUAAUCCAAGCUACCAUCUAGCUGUGUUUGCCAUCUUGACUACUCAUCACAAAAAUUUGUCAGACUUAUUCAGAACAAAAAAUACAGAUGUAAUUCCCCACAAGUCCCCAGAGGUGUUUUUCAGUAUGGUUAGUUAUAUAUGGAAGAAACAUCAACAUUUCCUUGAUGCCUGACAGCACAAAAUCCUCAAAUAAAUAGCUACAAUAUUGGGUCUCAUAGUGAAAUUUUUAUAAUGUGCCAUACAAUUUUUAAUAUCUACAACAUAUGCAAAAUAGGAUCAAUUUUCUUACACUAGCACAGCAAAUGCGCCUCUAAGAUCCAGUUAAUGGUAUUAAGGUGCACUGAUAUAUUAUUUUAUUUUCUGACUUUAUCUAUAUUAAAAACAAAAUAAACUGAGAUUUUUAUUCCUCC